CCCUAAGGGGCACAGCCAAUGGGCAUCAGAGGCCGCCUCCAGGCCAAUCGCGGCUCGGGACGGGUCCUGACGGACGGUGACACGCCGGCUGUGCGGCCAAUGGCGGUGCCGGGGGAGUGGCCACGCAGCCGGCCCCGGGAGCGGCGGACCGGCCAUGGCGGUUCGUUCCGCCGCCGCUGCCGGAGCGCCGCUGCCACGGGCGGUUCCUGCGGCUGCAGCGGCUGCGCGGGGCGGGGCGGGGGCCCGGGGGUGCGGCCCCGCCGGCCGGUGCCGGGCGGUCGCCGUGUUGCCCUCGGGCAGCAGGGGGGGUGCGUCCCGUUGAUCCCCCCCGCGCAGUUCCGCGGUUGAGAAUCCUCCUCAGCAACGCGCCGGGACCGCGAUCGCCGCCGGUUCCGUCCCGGGUCACCAGACUAUCGACACCUCUGGAUUGGUCACGGACCUGAUGGGAGCCGUGGGAAAACGGAAAGGGAAGGUUGGAUCCCGUGGGAAAUGGGGACAAGAAUCAAGGACCGCGCUACUGCUGAUCCUCUUCAUCACUCGUUGUGAGGAAGGUGCCUGAGGGAGAAGAGAGAACAGCCACCGAUGUCCCCCAGCGCAAGGUGGACAAUGGUUCCUGGGGCAAAGAGGUGAUCUAGGGCAUGUGGAAAGGAAAAGAUCCCGAAAACAUGACAGCCCCAAGAUGCCACAUCCAGUGUGCAGCUUCCCCCGAGCUUCCUCCCAGCUGUGGUCAGCGGCUUCUCCUUCAUUAUCAGCCCUUCCUGCCCCACUGAUUGCCCAGCUCGUGUCAGAUGGCUGGAGAAGGUGGUUCAGAAACACCGGGCAGGACAAGGCCAGCAGGCAGCUCGCUGCUCUCCUGGACAGGCCGCCACGGAGCCCUGAGAAGCCCCUGGGUCAUGUGCCGUGAUGGUCACAGCCUCGUGAUGCUUCUGGGUACCCUUGGCCUCUUGGCCACAAGGACACAUUGGUGACUUGUGGCCAACCUGAUGUCAACCAGAACUCCCAAGUCCUUCUCCGCAGAGCUGCUUUCCAGUGGGUCCACCCUCAAACUGUACUGGUACUGGACCCCCGUCUGUCCCAGGAGAUAUUCCAUGCCACUAACAUGGUGCUUAUCACCUCCUUGCACUCGUUGUCUCGACGCCGAUCUCUCCUGGCUUUCCUCCAGCUGCUGCCGUUGGCUGUGUCCUCUGUGGACCCCUUUUACCCCCUGCACUCUCCACAGACCCCAGUUACCAUUUCUGUUAUGAAGGGGAACAUCUCACUUUUCUGUGCAUGGCCAAGACGAUGAGGAAAAUUGGCAGAUUUUGGUUCUUCAAUCAAACUGGGGAGCAAAUCGACCUGCGAUCACUGUACCCUCUCCCGACUGCCCGGCUGCAGCUCACAGCUACAAAAGUGUCUGCUGGCGAGUGCUCAUACAUGUACUUCAUGGAGGACUCUGGACAGGAAAUCCCUUCCAAGCGGAGCUUUCCUCUCACCGUUGAGGUUCAGGGUAGGCUGGUCUUGUCUUACGACUCAGCUGCAAUUGGAGCUGAUACCACGUGCCUCCCUGGAGAGCGUCAUCUUGGCUGAUGGCCUUGUCCUUGGGUCACCAGUGGACACAUGGAGCUGCUCUGGCCUCUCACAAGCUUUUGUGCUCCUGGAUUGCUCUGCGAAAGCAGGAAUUUGUUGGCCUGACGGCUGUGUCAGCUCCAGGAAAACUUCCAGCAGGGUUUGGGGUAUAUUACUUGCCUUCUUACUUUGGGCAUGUGAAAAUACUUAUUUUCUGCACUUCAGUGAAUGGAAAGAAACUGUGGAAGCUACGCUGAGCUCUGAGAUCCAGGGGCUGUUUUUUCUCUGCCCUUAGACAGAGACGCAAAUGACCCCCACACCCUGUUUUGUCAUUCAAGGCUCCCUAUUUGCCUCAAUAGUAAUCAGAAAAAGAGUAAGCUGAUUUUCUAGGCUGAGUCAUGACACUGGCUUUGUGCACAGGUCCUGGUGUCAAUGCACAGCCAGUUUUUUGUAUUCUGUGUUGCAUUAUGUUGGUUUGUUGUGUAGUUUUUGUUUUUUUUCAUUUUUUUUCCAGCUGCUCCCGUGGCCCCAACUUUUUCCCUGGAUCCUCAACAGCAGGUUUAUAGAAACAGGAACUCCAUCAAGCUCCUCUGGUCCAUCCCCAGUUGUGCCUAUUUUGUGUACAAAUCUGCUCGUCCCAUUGGCUCAGAGAGAAGCCACUUGUGUGGACAAGCACAGGCACGUCACAAGAAGAGCCGGAGGCCACGAAUGCAAUUGCAAAGAGCAAGUUUUAUUUUAGUUACCUCUCUACUGGGGGAUCUCCAAAGCCACACCUAAGCUCCCAGGCAGAGGUGACACCAGCGGGGAUGCAGGCGCUGAUAAGUUUAGCCCUGCUGGAAGAUCGUUAGGCCGGCUGCGCUCGUCUGUGUUUAAAGGCUUAGAGCAGAUGCAGCCUCUUGCUGUGCUCUGCUCUUUCUCAAAACAAAGCAGGAAUCUCAGACAUGAUAAGGUACCGUAGGGUUUCCCUCAGGCCUGUGUUAUCUCACACAGAGGUUCUACUUGUCAAGCACACAAGGUCAGUAGAACAAUUAAUGUGAUGUAUGUGCUUUCUUUAUACCCCAGCUGCGGGUCACUUGAGCGUGUUUACCUUUCUCCUCCUCGCCCAAUCUUCUGCAAUUCCCAUGCAUUCCACCCUGUUGCCCAAGGGACCAUCUCUGCUGGGGCCAGAAUAGCCAGAGGUGUUCACUUGGGCGUGUAAAGUUCAGAACAGAACAAUUUACAGAGAUACCCAACAAACACAUAUACAUAUAUAAAGAGAGAAAAGGAACAAAUAUAUGUGUGCAAUGAUAGGUUGCAUCUGGCAUCCCGUCUAUCUUCUCAAGGAAUGAGAUGAGUCUUUCGGCCAGGCACUGUCAGUGGAUUGCUUCAUUUGAUGUGUCAGUCCCACAAGUAUUUAGGUGUUAUCUUCCAUUCUGACUAGUUCAUUAGCUGUCUUGAAGCAGCACUUGCCUUAAAAAAUCAGGGCAGCAUCUUCAGCCACUACCUACCCAAGGCUAAAGAACAAUGAGAAACAUUAGUGUGAAAAAAACAACCCAAACAAAACUCCUUGGCAUAAUACAUAUCUGUAGCAGAGCUAUUGCGUUACUAAAUGACAGUAAGAGAUCUGCAGCUGUUAGUCUUGUGGAGGUGUGUCCUGCAUAUUAUACUUGUUACAUAGGGUUACAAGCCAUGACGAGAAUCUCUGAUAAGUGAGGAAAACAGGGGCAUCUUCUCCUUCCAGUAAUACAUACACUGUUGCUCCAGCUCCUUCAGCUAGUAUUACUCCAGGCUUGACAACCUGGUGUGGGGUAAUUACCCACACAGACUGGAAAGCCAUGGCCUGUGCUUUCUCAGAUUGAACUUCAACAUGACGUUGGGUCUGCCACACAAGUAACACCGUUCCAAUGCUGUCUCCUCUAGACAAAGCACAAGUAGUCAUUGAAGAUACCUGAAAUACAAGAACUCGAGAGUCCGAUAUUAGCAAAGGAUGCAACAUAAGAGGAGAAGUCAGAGGACACAACCAUACACCAUUCUCAGGAAUUAUUAUGUGGACUUUCACAUCCAGAUUAAUAGGUCACAGUCCCACUUCGCAAUCCAUCGGGGUGAAUAAUUCCAUUUCCCCUGUAGUUAGUAUUUUGGAAGAAAUGCCAUCUGGAAGGA